GCGGCGAGGAGGAAGGGAGGAUGGAGUGCCCGAAUUUCCUUUGAUUUCCCGUGUGUUUGGAGCCUUGAGGAGGAGCCCUGCAUCACGCUUUAUACCUGAGGACACCGAGGAGCCGAGGAGCACGUGAAGGAGAGGAGAGGGACGCCGGGAAGGAGGAAAAACAGCUUUAUUUGGAACCAUAGCGUGACGGCAACGCUACUCCAUGCAGAGAUCGCCUCUUGAUACCUGUUCAAGGCUCCGGAGAAAAAGACAAGCUUUCCACAACAAAAAUU